rnacentral:rRNA from 1 species
GUAAAUAAUAAAGGGCGUAUGGUGGAUGCCUAGGCUCUCAGAGGCGAAGAAGGACGUGAUAAGCUGCGAAAAGCUCCGUUUAGGUGCAAAUAACCUUUGAUGCGGAGAUCUCCGAAUGGGAUAACCCAAUAUGUUGAAGACAUAUUAUACCGUAAGGUAGGCAAACGCAGGGAACUGAAACAUCUAAGUACCUGCAGGAGAAGAAAACAAACGUGAUUCCCCCAGUAGCGGCGAGCGACCGGGGAUAAGCCCAAACCGUUAUUGUUUCGGCAGUAGCGGGGUAGUAGGACUGCGACAUUGAUGAAAUAAAUGAAAUGGAACACUUUGGAAAAUGUGAUCACAGAGGGUGAUAAUCCCGUACAUGCAAGUUUAUGAAUCAUAGCAGUAUCCUGAGUAAGUCGGGACACGUGUAAUCCUGACCGAAUCCGCCGGGACCAUCCGGCAAGGCUAAAUACUCCUGAGAGACCGAUAGUGAACCAGUACCGUGAGGGAAAGGUGAAAAGCACUUCGAACAGAAGAGUGAAAUAGUCCCUGAACCCAUACGCCUACAAGCUGUCGGAGCCGCUUCGUGCGGUGACGGCGUGCCUUUUGCAUAAUGAGCCUACGAGUUACUCAUCACCAGCGAGGUUAAGUACUUCAGGUACGUAAGCCGAAGCGAAAGCGAGUCUGAAUAGGGCGUCAAGUUGGUGGUGGUAGACGCGAAACCUUAGUGAUCUACCCAUGGGCAGGGUGAAGGUUUGGUAACACAAACUGGAGGCCCGAACCGGUAAACGUUGAAAAGUUUUCGGAUGACCUGUGGGUAGGGGUGAAAGGCCAAUCAAACUGGGAAAUAGCUCGUACUCUCCGAAAUGCAUUUAGGUGCAGCCUCUGUUGUUUUGUUCUAGAGGUAGAGCUACUGAUUGGAUGCGAGGGCUUCACCGCCUAUCAAAUCCGGCCAAACUCCGAAUGCUAGAACAUGAAGACAGGGAGUGAGCCAGCGGGUGCUAAGGUCCGUUGACGAAAGAGGGAGAACUCAGACCAUCAGCUAAGGUCCCCAAUUGUAUGCUAAGUUGGAAUUAAAACGGGGUGGGACUGCUUAGACAGCUAGGAUGUUGGCUUGGAAGCAGCCAUUCAUUUAAAGAGUGCGUAACAGCUCACUAGUCGAGCGGUCCUGCAUGGAUAAUACGCGGGCAUAAGCAUAUAACCGAAGCUAUGGGAUUGUAGAUGAUACAAUCGGUAGGAGAGCAUUCCAUUCAGCGUAGAAGCAGUACCGUGAGGUAUUGUGGAGCGGAUGGAAAAGCAAAUGUAGGCAUAAGUAACGAUAAUGCGGGUGAGAACCCCGCACGCCGAAAGAUCAAGGAUUCCCCGGCAAUGUCAAUCAUCCGGGGGUAAGUCGGAUCCUAAGGGUAAGCCGAGUGGCGAUCCCGAUGGCAAACAGGUUAAUAUUCCUGUACUGAUCAUAACUGCGAUGCAGCGACGCAGAGGUGACACUGCUGCGUACUGACGGAAUAGUACGUUGAAACCCGUAUUCUUUGAUACCGGUAGUGAAGCACGCCGGUAGAGAUGAAAGGUGAUAGUACCGCAAUGCUUCGGUUGCGCGGAUAAUGCAGGUAAGCUGACUGCCAAGAAAACCUGCUAAGCUUCAGGUAAUGAUCAUCCGUACUGUAAACGGACACACGUGAUCAGGUAGAAAAUACUAAGGCGCUCGAGAGAUUCAUGGUUAAGGAACUAGGCAAAAUGGUCCUGUAACUUCGGGAUAAAGGACGCUCUUGUGAAAGAGCCGCAGAUAAUAGGCCCAGGCGACUGUUUACCAAAAACACAUGGCUAUGCUAAUUCGCAAGAAGAUGUAUAUGGCCUGACACCUGCCCGGUGCCGGAAGGUUAAGAGGAGAGCUCAGAGGUAACUCGAAGGUUUGAAUUGAAGCCCCGGUAAACGGCGGCCGUAACUAUAACGGUCCUAAGGUAGCGAAAUUCCUUGUCGGGU